rnacentral:rRNA from 1 species
UACGUAGGGGGCUAGCGUUAUCCGGAAUUACUGGGCGUAAAGGGUGCGUAGGUGGUUUCUUAAGUCAGAGGUGAAAGGCUACGGCUCAACCGUAGUAAGCCUUUGAAACUGGGGAACUUGAGUGCAGGAGAGGAGAGUGGAAUUCCUAGUGUAGCGGUGAAAUGCGUAGAUAUAUGGAAGAACACCAGUGGCGAAAGCGGCUCUCCGGUCUGUAACUGACGCUGAGGUUCGAAAGCGUGGGUAGCAAACAGG